UACGAAGGGGGGCUAGCGUUGUUCGGAAUUACUGGGCGUAAAGCGCGCGCAGGCGGUCCUUCAAGUCAGAGGUGAAAGCCCAGAGCUCAACUCUGGAAUGGCCUUUGAGACUAGAGGACUUGGGUACGGGAGAGGUGAGUGGAAUUCCGAGUGUAGAGGUGAAAUUCGUAGAUAUUCGCAAGAACACCAGUGGCGAAGGCGGCUCACUGGCCCGGUACUGACGCUGAGGUGCGAAAGCGUGGGGAGCAAACAGG
rnacentral:rRNA from 1 species